rnacentral:lncRNA from 1 species
GAGAUCUCAACCUAAAUAAAUAAGAUACUCAACAUAUACUAAAUAUAUAGAUAAUUCCUACUAUCUAUUCAUUAGAAUAAUAAUAGAAUAAAAUAAUAAUGAGACAAUAAUGAAAAAAUAAAUAAGAAAGAAAACAUAAAAGGGAUUAAGCAUUCAGUUAGAGUACCAUUCAUUUACGACCUUAUAUCCGAAAGAAAAAAAGUAUACCACAAUAGUUAUCUUCUCCAAAUCCAUUAACCUUCACUUGUUCUUCAUUCGAAAAUAUCCAUAGAAAUUGCAAGUUCUGAUUCAAUGAUGGUUGAAGGAAAGGUUAAUGUUUUGGUUGUGUUAGUUUCAAUGGAAGAUGAUAGUUUGGUUGAAGUUUUUUAUGAAGGUUUAUGAAUAUUGGUGAUGGAGAUUUGUAAAAAUAGUGGAUUAGUGUGUUAGAAAUUGGUAAAAAUUUGUUGUUUUUGAAUGAAUUUACAAUUAUGGUUUGUGUAGUGGUUAUACUGGUUUUGGUUGAAAAACAAGAGAUUGAAUAAGGUUAGAUAAAUUGAAAUUGUUAGAAAGAAAAAAAAACUAGUAAGUUAGUAAGAUAGAUGAAUGAGAAGAGUAAAAUAAAUAAAUGGUGUUAGUAAUAUUAUUCAAAUUAAA